GUCCUUAGUUACCAGCACGUUAUGGUGGGCACUCUAAGGAGACUGCCGGUGACAAACCGGAGGAAGGUGGGGAUGACGUCAAGUCAUCAUGGCCCUUACGGCCUGGGCUACACACGUGCUACAAUGGUCGGUACAAAGGGUUGCCAAGCCGCGAGGUGGAGCUAAUCCCAUAAAACCGAUCGUAGUCCGGAUCGCAGUCUGCAACUCGACUGCGUGAAGUCGGAAUCGCUAGUAAUCGUGAAUCAGAAUGUCACGGUGAAUACGUUUCCGGGCCUU
rnacentral:rRNA from 1 species